rnacentral:rRNA from 1 species
GAUGAACGCUGGCGGCGUGCUUAACACAUGCAAGUCGAACGGAAAGGCCUCUGCUUGCAGGGGUACUCGAGUGGCGAACGGGUGAGUAACACGUGGGUGAUCUGCCCUGCACUUCGGGAUAAGCCUGGGAAACUGGGUCUAAUACCGGAUAGGACAAUGGUUUGGAUGCUGUUGUGGAAAGUUUUUCGGGGUGGGAUGAGCUCGCGGCCUAUCAGCUUGUUGGUGGGGUAAUGGCCUACCAAGGCGUCGUCGGGUAGCCGGCCUGAGAGGGUGUACGGCGACAUUGGGGGUGAGAUACGGGCCAGACUCCUACGGGGGGCAGCAGUGGGGAAUAUUGCACAAUGGGGGCAAGACUGAUGCGGCGACGCGGCGUGGGGGAUGACGGGCUUCGGGUUGUAAACUCCGUUCGCGCGGGACGAAGCGUUUUUGUGACGGUACCUGGAGAAGAAGCACCGGCUAACUACGUG